rnacentral:tRNA from 1 species
CCCAGAAAAGAGAGAUUUUAACUCCCACCACUAACUCCCAAAUCUAGCAUUCUAAACUAAACUAUUCU